GCUUUCACUUCUCUAGGGAGUUCUGAGCUUCAAGAGCCCAGCUACUCGCCGAACCCGGGCCGCCUGCGUGAGUAACUUGGGGCGGCCAGGAGCACGGGAAGGGCGCCAGACAGAGAGCCUUUGGCUGCUUCUGAGACCGGUUGUGGGCUGCCACCGCUGAGCGGCGCGGAGGCUGCAGCGUUCCGUCUCCGGACAGAAAGCAGGCGUUGGGGGCUGCUACUCGCAGCCUGCCAGGGGCAGCAGCAGCCCCAGGUUCAAGUGGCUAUGUGCCAGGAUACUCAGGUGCGGCUGGCGGCUGCCCGUGGGAGAGCCAGUGCUCUCCGCAGGUCCAAAGUGCAAGGCCGGGCUAUUCCCGGACUUGCCUAGGCGCAGGGGCCCCCAGCGCGUCCCGGAUUGCCCCGGCGCGUCGGGCGCGCGAACUUGUGCGCAAGGGAGAAGAGCGCUUACCAUGGAACAUGGUCUGCGGGAGGCGGGCGUAGUCAUGAUGACCGCAACUGGAGCAGGAGCAAGCUCUCACCGCCCAUAGUCACUCCCAGGACCCUGGUCUUCCGCAGAGUUGCCGAGUCUGUGUUGGGCAGGGUGAUCUCUGCAGCUGGUUCCUCUUACCCACGCCGCGACUGCAGUUUCAUCCAUCCCAGCGGGGGCGGCACACACCACGGCGUGGCUCUGCGCUUUGCCUUUUCCAUAACUUCCGUAGGAUCCGCCAGCAGUGUACUUUCAGUUUCUACUUUGCGCUUGGUCUGCAGGUUCAAUCUUUAUGAUCAUCAGCAUGGAAUCUUCAUUAUCCCCUCUCUCCAGGGCACCUGCUUCCCGCGCACCUGGUUGAGGACCAGAGGAGGGCGCGAAUUUCCAAAUCACCGCAGGAAAAACCAGCUGGCCUGAAUCAAAGCGAUUCUGGGUAAAAGACUUUCCAGAUGACCUCUCAACGCCUUGGCAACGCUUGGCGACUGGGAGCUAGAACCAUGAGUUGUUAAUGUGUGCACGGAAGCCACAAGUGUGCAGGACGCAAGCUGGGUUAUUGGAAGCGGACGACACCAAGGAGGCGUUGCCGCGGAUGUGGUGGACGAUGCCAAGUCGUCUUGUAAAAAAAAGGAAGUGAAGAAUGAUUAAGAGGGUCACGCCCUCUACCACUCCAACCUCUCUAAUCAGUCUCUUUCUGCUCCGUCUACUGUACAUGCACCUGCUCAGGUGAGACCUCAAGGAAAAAUAAUCCUAUGGGUCCACAUAAUCUGGUUGCUGAUGCCCACUUUGCUUGAAUGGACAUCCAGAAGUGGCUGGGAAUGUGUACUUUGUGGAUGCAUCCAUUUAUCACUGAUUGACACAUACUGAGACAACCACAGUUGCUAACAGUAUGAGUUCUACAGUUAUACAGAACUAAGUCCAUUAGCUGUGUGACCCAUGGCCAAAUAUUUUCCUUCUCUGUGCCUGCAUUUCUUCAUCUGUAAACUGGAAUAAUGAUAGCAACUACUUCAGAGGACUAUGCUAGAGUGCAAUGGUGCAAUCUUGGCUCACUGCAACCUCCACUUCCCAGGUUCAAGUGAUUCUCCUGCCUCAGUCUCCUGAGUAGCUGAUAUUACAGGUGCCUGCCACUACACCCAGUGUAAAGAAGGAUGUCUUUGCUCCCCCUUCUGCCAUGAUUGCGAGUUUCCUGAGGCCUCCCCAGUCAUGCUGAACUGUCCAAUCAGCAUAAUGUCAUCAAUGCAAUGGAACGGACUGAUUUUCUGCAGAAAGGGAAAUCAAUCAAGGUCUCAGUGGACUAAAGGAUGAUAUAAGGCUGAAGAAUGGACACAUCCUGUGAAUAGCUAUAUACCAAAUACCUGAGGAUGUGUUAAUUUGCCCAAGCGAUGAAACCACCUCUGGAAUAGCAGCUGUAAUUGGAACCACCACCUGAUUAAGUUGACAAUAAUCCACUGUCAUUCUCCAAGAUCCAUCUGUUUUGUGCACAGGCCAAAUAGAUGAAUUGAAUGCGGAUGUGGUGGGAAGUCACUAUGCUAACAUGUUUUACGUCCUCCAGGAUUGCAGCAUUACUUUUAGUUUACUAUUUUCCUAGGUAGAGGCAGUUAUAGUGGCUUCCAGUUAUUUUUCUUUCCAUAAUAUCCCUUAUUUCACAAGUCAGGAAACCAAUGUAGAGAUUUUGUCACAUUCUGAAUGUGUCUAUUCCGAUAAUGCUUGUGGAAAUGGAGAAAUAAUCACAGGACUUGUUCAGGGACAUGCUGAACCCACUGAGACAAAUAUGAACUAAAAUUCCAUCAAUCAAUUAAUCACCUAACCUUCAUAAGCCUCUAUUAUGCCUCCACAGUGACAUUUUGGGUGUCCAGAAAUUAGUGUCAUUUUAGUCAGUGUUCAGUAAUCUUCCAAAAGUCUAAUUAUUUCUAUUUUCCAAAGCAAAAGCACACUGGUAAAUAACUAGAUCUCUUUAGGAAAGACCAGAAGAAAGACUAACAGUAUACACACAUUUUUUUGGCAGUGCAGUGGAGUUCUUCCUCAAAGGGACUUAGCCUCCCUUUCAUUUAAGGGGUUCUGGGAUGGUAAAUUGUCUCAGCCUGGAAAUUGAUUGAAGUGUUAUGUCUCUCUAUUUUGGUGAUUUGAGUUAGACUUCUGCUCACUAGACCUGGAACUUUUCCACUUAUACACAUCAUUCAUUAGACUGCCCAUCUAUUUCUUUUCUAGUGACAUCAUUAUCAACUAGCUAAUGCCGUAGGUCUUUGGGAGUUACAGUAUUCUGGUUACUGCUUUGACUCUGCAGUUUAUUGCAGUGACUAUCUGGUUUUUGAUGAUCCCUGUCAAAUAGCAGCAGUUUCCACUGUAAUAUCUGACAUUGCAGAAAAGAGUAAAGAGAGAGCUCUCAAGGAUGCUAGGAUUCCCCCUAUAAAUUUAUUUCUCUUAAUUAUGGUAAAAGGUAUGUCUUCUGGACUCUCCAAUUGGAUGACCAGUUCUUACAUGAUAAAUCUAUUCAAACAUUUCAACCUCCCUAAGACUUUAGAUGCCUUCCUCCACAGUAUACCAAGGCAAUCCUGACAUUUCAACUUCAUUUAUUGUAGGCCACCUUCAGUUUCAUGUUUCAACCUACGGACAAAACAAACUGUUAGAGCCCUUCCUAGACCACUAACCUUAGUGAACCAUAGUAAUACAUCAGACUAAUCCAACUUUAUAUUCCUUCCACCAUAAUGCCACAGUCUUAAGACCCAUUGCCACACCUAUUUCCCCAGAUUUAUGUGUGUAUACAUUGGAAAAAUCAUUCUGUUCUUCUUGCAGGUCAUUCAUUGUACCUUACCGUUUGGGCUCUGCUGAGACUUAAGUCUAAUUGUAGGACUAGAUGCAGAGAAGGGUGGUGGAGGUAGGUCCUAAGAAGAAUCAGCAGUACCUUGCAAGGCAACUACAGAUUCUUCAGGAAGAACAGAUAACCUCCUUAGAUGGGGUGGAUGGCUGCUUCUCCUAGCAAGAAAACUGUCCAAAUUCAAGGGUUCAAUGUCCCCAGCUUCACUGGGAUCUGUCAAUAUGCCCUCAUUCCAAUUUUCAGGAUCCCAUUCCUUCCCAAUCAUUUUAACAGAAAACACUUUGUGAGGUUGGAAAUUCAAUUUGUGUUGUAAUUAAGCCAUUCACAGGGAGAUUCAGGGUUUAAUUUUUAGAAAUCUCAGACCUGUAGGCAGAAAAGAUAAGGGUGACUUUUAGGGCAUAUAAAACAUACUAUUACAUUAUUUAGGUGGAACUUGAGCUGGAAUUUGAAGUCCUGCCCUUCUUCUUUUAUUUCUGGAACAAUUAAGAGUAACUGACCAGCUCCACGAUACUCUUAGGUUUGAUAAAAAUAUUCUAAGGUAGCAAAUACAUGGUGACCCACAACUUCAACUUCUACAGGUAUUUGAUCACAAGUGUCCAAUGGUUAUAUUUUCCAUAUCUCUUUUGUCAUAUUAUGCCAUGGAUUUCUAGUGCUCUCUUUAUCACCAGAAAUAGUCAUUAGUGCUUUUAAAUAUAAUCACAUGAGGCAACUAAAUUCUCAAACCCCAGAAACAAUUCAGAAAACUCAUCCAUAUGAUUAUGUUCCUUUAGAACAAUGUCAAGAAGCAACGUCUGUAUCCGUCAUCAUUUAUCCAGGGAAACAGACCAGUAGGAGAUAUAUUGUAAGAUUUUUUUUCAAGAAAUUGGUUUAUAUGACUGUGGGGACUGAUAAGGCUAGUCUAAAAUCCAUACGGCAGGCUGGAACUCUUGGUUAUGGGCUGAAGCUUCUGGCCACAAGUUGAAUUUCUUCUGCCUCAGAGAAGCUUCAGCUUUGCUUUUAAGGCUUUCCAACUAGUGAAAUGAGGCUCUGCUAAAUUAUCUAGGAUAAUGUCUCUUAAAGUCAACUGAGUAUUGACUUUACUUAACUCUAUAAAUUACCGUCACAGUAACACCUAAAUUAGUAUUUAUUAACUUGUGAUUGUAACUUACCCAUGUCAACAAUAAGUCCAUCACAAUGUCACAUAAAAAACUCCUACUUUAUCAGAAAAUGGGCUAUAAGUGGACCAUGAGUUUGCAGCUUCUCCUCUGUUAUAUAAAUUUUCCUUUUUUAGUACUUAAAAAAAUCCUCCAAAUCUCCAUAUAUCAGUGUGUUUAAUUUAAGAGACUGCAACAUGAUCAAGUUAAAUAUUAAUAGUAAAAUUACUAUACCAACAUUUCAAUGAUAACAGUUAGAUAUGAAAUUGUUAAAUAUAAUUUGAAAGGAUUUUAUAUAUUAUUUGGCCAUUUAAAUUUAUUAUUAUAUUUUACAAAGUCAUUGAAAAAUAUUAUAAUUGAAUAUAAUGUGAAGUAAAGAAGGGUGCAAAAUAGAUAGAAUAUUAUCAUAUUUGUGUGUAAGAUAGAUGCCUGAAGAAAGAACAUUUAGGACAUUAUAUCAAUAUCUUCUGUGUGUGAAGAGAGAGUUGCAAAUCACCUUAGGACUAAUUUUUGUAAUUUUUAUUUAAUCACUUAAGUGAUUUUCUUUGUUCAAGCCACUAUGAAAUUCAUUACUCCAGACCAGGUUGAAACAGCAUCUUCUGUGGCCUGAAAAGAUGGCAAUACCACUUGGUAUAAGGAGCUGUCCCUGUGCGAAGAAGUUAGCAAUUUACACAGGGACUAGGAUUUAUCUUGGGAGGAAAAGAACACCAAACUUGAUCUUUCCUCUUAUACAAAUAUUUCUGUUGAAUUGAAGUGGGCUGGAUCAGGUCCUUUGGUAAGAAAUGAUAUCAAUGACUCCAAAGAGGCACUCGCCUUCAGAGAAGAGGUCACUGGUGCGGGUGACUGGAGCUGAACACAAGAACAGAAGUGACCCUGGCAGUGGCUGGUCCCACAACAGCCUGUAACAGGGAACAUAAUCAACCACAAAUUUUGUGGGUAGUUUAGGUGUUGAAAAACAAUAGUGAUUAUUAAUAUUGUAUAUACAUUACCUUUUACUAAAUGUCCUACAUAGUUUACACAAGAAAAAGAGGAACUAAAGGCUGUGAAAUUCCAACUCAGAAUAUAAAUCAAAAAUGAGAAAGCCUUGGUGGUAACUUUGAACAAAUCCCUUAUCUCCUAAAGUGGCAGAGCAGAUAAACUGAGGACCAAUAUCAAGACUGGACUGUCAAAAUUGCAGUUGCAGUGCAAACGAGAUACUCAAUUUAGUUAUGUCUCAAAGUAAGAAGAAACCACUGCUGGGGAAAUAAUAUAAUCCCAAGAAAUAGGACGGAAAUAUUGUGGUGAAUACAAUAAGGUUGAACACUUUGAAUCUCCAAAUCUUUCUAAAUUUCCCUUGUCUUCCAUUUCACAACUCUACAUCUAUACUCAGCACAGGAAAAAUAUCUAAUCUGUUCGUGUCAAGUUGAUUUAUUGGUUAGGGAUUUCUGUGUUAAUCUCAGAUGGAAAAUGUUUAAUUACAAGGUCCUUCCUGUAUCUAAGAGUUACUACAUGACAGAACGAGUAGACCAACCUCUCUACCUCCAACAGCCUCUUUAUCACUGAGAUUUUCUGUGUGCCCAUGGCAAGCAGAAUUCCAAGACAAUCCUUGAGAUUUCUACCCCAUUGUGUACAAUGCACUGCUUUUGAGUAUGGGUGAAGCCUGUAAAUAUGAUGAAUUAUCAACCUCAUCAUUAUAUUUUCUUAUAUGCAAUAGAGAUUUUAUCAGAUAUAAUUAAAGUUCCACAUUCAGUUAAGUUAAUCAGAUUGGAAAUUAUCUAAUGAGAGUUUGUCCUACUCAGGUGAGGUAUCAAAUGGGGGUCUAGAGUUUUAAAAUGCAAAGAAUCAGAGAGACACUCUCCCUAUGGCCUCAAACAAGAAAGCAAAUAGCCAUAUUUUGAAUUUCCGUGAAGGUGAAUCAUCAUUAGGGUCUGAGUGUCUCAGUCCUAAAACUACAAGGAACUAAAUUCUGUCAACAACUUAAAUAAGUUUGAAAAAAGACUUCACAUUCCAAAUGAGACUCCAGUCUGGCUGACACCUUGAUUUCAGCCUUGUAAGACUUUGACCAGAGAACCCAGUUGAAACGUGGCUGGACUUCUGAACUACUGAACUCUGAGCUAAUAAAUGGAUGUAGCUUGUUUUGAACCAUGAAGUCUGGUGGCUUAUUAUGUAGCAGUGCAAAACUAACUCAGUGCCUCUGACAAUCUGUCCUUACUUUGUAGAAUAUGAUACGGGGCCACCAUUUGCCAAUCUGUUGUAAGUUGAUAUAGUUACUUUUCUUCAUUUUAACUGAAUAGGGCUGAUCUCCCUUCCUCUCUCUCUCUCUGUCUCUCUCUCUCUCUCUCCCCCACACACACACCUUACACAAUUUUACUUAUAAAUAUUAGAAUUUUGUUAUAUAUCAAAUAUAAUCUCCUUCACUUUAUAUAAGAAAAAAUGGGUAUCAGAAUGAUUACUGAGUUUAUUCCAAAUUACACAACUAGCCAGGGACCAAGGUAAAAUUUAAGUCAGUCUUAGUUACAAAGUUGGUUCUCUUUUAACUGAGAGAAACAAAAAUAUUCCAAAAAUAUUUCUAAACUUUAUCAAAAACUAAGGAAUUAAUGGAAUGUGUUUGUCAUAGAUAGCGUGCUGCCCAGAUCCCCUGUAGAAAUAAAGGGCUUGUUUUUUAAACUUCUAUAAGUACUUCCCUAAGGCAGGUCUCCGCUAUUAGCCCUCUACAGAAAAUGUCUUUGUUGGAGACACACACCCCUUGCCCAAUAUUUUGCCCCCUUCCUUGGGCAGCCCAUGCCCAAUGACUCAUCAAGGAAAGAUAUGAAGUCUGCCUUUCUCCCACAACUUGAGACAAUUCUAAAGGGUCGUGUCAAUUUUAGAACUUCCCUAAGAUCAACUGUAUCCUUCAUCAAGCCUACAAUUCUCUCUUUGUCCAAUUUUGCUUCCUCUUUUUCCAUGUGUUUAUACCCAUAAUACUCCCUGAUAAACAUCCUGUAUGCUAAUCUCCAUUUCAGAGUCAGCUUCCUAGGGAAACCAACCUGUGACAGGGAAGAGAUAACCACCUCUCUGUAAAACCAAUAAUGUGAGAUUAAAUGAAAUAAUACAAUUAAAUCAAAUUCACUUACAAAAAAUAUAAUGUAUAAAAGUAGGUGUUAAUUUAUGUAUAAUAUUAUAUUAUUAUAAAUUAUAAUUCAAAGAAAUAAAUAUGAAAUUAACAUUUGUAUAAGGCAUAAAUUAUGGGAUGGAGUCACUGCUUGUGCUAGUGACUUUCAGAUAAAGCUCCAUCAUCUUAUCAUGGCAAAGUUAUCUUAGGAGAGAAGACCUAAAUAUAAAAUCAGAGAUGAAAAUAGAGAUAUUACAACUGUUACCACAAAUAUUCAAAGGAUCAUUAGAGACUGUUAUGAGAAAUUGUAUGUCAAUAAAUUGGAAAACCUAGAAUAAAUUAAUAAGUUCCUAGUCCUAUACACCCUACCAAGAUUGAAAUUCAAAACCUGAAUAGACUAAUAACAAGUAAAUAGAAGUAGGAAUAAAAUGUCUUCCAUCAAAGAAAAACCCAAGACCUGAUGGCUUCACUGCUGAAUUCUACCAAACUUUUAAAUAUCUAAUACCAUUUCUAUUACAGCCAUUCCAAAAAAAUCAAUGAAAAGGGAAUUCUUCCAAACUAAUUCUGAGACCAGUAUUAUCCUGUUACUGAAACCAGACAGAUACACAAGAAAAAGGAAAACUAUAGGUCAAUAUCUCAGAUGAACAUAGCUAUCAAAAUCCCCAACAAAAUAUUAGGAAGCUGAAGCCAGCAACACAUUAAAAAGGUCAUUCAUUAUGAUAAAAUGGGAUUUAUCAAAAUGACACAAGGAUGGAUCAACAUAUAGAAAUCAAAAACGUGAUGCAUCACAUCAACAGAAUGAAAGACCAAAACCGUAUGAUCAUUUUAAUCAAUGUCAAUUAAGCAUUUGACAAAAUUUCACAUCACUUUAUAAUAAAAACUCUAAAAAAAUGGGUAUAAAAGGAACAUACCUCAACAUGAUAAAAAAACACAUUCACCAAACCCACAGUUAGUAUCAUACUGAACAGGGAAAAACUGAAAACUUUUUCUCUAAGAUCUUGAACAUGACAAUGGUGGUCCAUUUUCACCACUGUUAUUCAGCAUACAACUGGAAGUUUUAGCAGGAGCAGUUGAACAAGAGAAAGAAGUAAAGAUCAUUGGGUAGGAAAAGGACAAAUUAUCCUUAUUUUCAGAUGAUAUGAUCUUAUAUUUAGAAAAACCUAAAGAAUCCAACGAAAGGUGACUAGAACUGAUAAAUUCCCUAAAGUUGCAGAAUAUAAAAUCAACGUUAAAGAAAACUAGCAUUUCUAUAUGCCAGCAGUGAAACCAAGAAAUUAAUCUUAUUUACAAUAGUUACAAAUAAAAUAAAAUGCCUAGAAAUAAACUUGACUAGAGAAGUGAAAGAUCACUACAAAGAAAGCUAUAAAACAUUAAUUAAAGAAAUUGCCUAGGUUUUCUUCUAGGGUUUUUAUGGUUUUAGGUCUUACGUUUAAGUCUUUAAUCCAUCUUGAGUUAAUUUUUGUAUAAGGGGUAAGGAAGGGGUCUAGUUUCAGUUUUCUGCAUAUGGCUAGCCAGUUUUCCCAACACUAUUUAUUAAACAGGGAAUCCUUUCCCCAUUGCUUUUGUCAGGUUUAUCAAAGCUCAGAUGGUUGUAGACGUGUGGCAUUUUUCUGAGGCUUUUGUUCUGUUCCAUUGGUCUAUAUAUCUGUUUUGGUAUCAGUAACCAGUUUUGGUUACUGUAGCCUUGUAGUAAAGUUUGAAGUCAGGUAGUGUGAUGCCUCCAGCUUUGUUCUUUUUGCAUAGGAUUGUCUUGGCUAUAUGGGCUCUUUUUUGGUUCCAUAUGAAAUUUAAAGUAGUUUUUUCUAAUUCUGUGAUGAAAGUCAAUGGUAGCUUGAUGGGGAUAGCACUGAAUCUAUAAAUUACUUUGUGCAGUAUGGCCAUUUUCACGAUAUUGAUUUUUCCCAUCUAUAAGCAUGGAAUGUUUUUCCAUUUGUUUGUGUCCUCUCUUAUGUCCUUGAGCAGUGAUUUGUAGUUCUCCUUGAAGAAGUCCUUCACAUCCCUUGUAAGUUGUAUUCCUAGGAAUUUUAUUCUCUUUGUAGGAAUUGUGAAUGGCAGUUCGCUCAUCAUCUGGCUCUCUGUUUGCCUAUUGUUGGUGUAUAGGAAGGCUUGUGAUUUUUGCACAUUGAUUUUGUAUCCUGAGACUUUGCUGAAGUUGGUUAUCAGCUUAAGGAGAUUUUGGGCUGAGAUGAUGGGGUUUUCUAAACACACAAUCAUGUCAUCUGCAAACAGAGACAAUUUGACUUCCUCUCUUCCUGUUUGAAUACCCUUUAUUUCUUUCUCUUGCCUGAUUGCCCUGGCCAGAACUUAAGCAAUAUCAUUCACGACAUAGGCAUGGGCAAAGACUUCAUGACUAAAACACCAAAAGCAACGGCAAUAAAAGCCAAAAUUGACAAAUGGGAUCUAAUUAAACUAAAGGGAUUCUGCACAGCAAAAGAAACUAUCAUCAGAGUGAACAGCCAACCUACAGAAUGGGAGAAAUUUUUGCAAUCUAUACAUAUGACAAAGGGCUAAUCAUCAGAAUGUACAAGGAACUUAAACAAAUUUACAAGAAAAAACAAACAACCUCAUCAAAAAGAGGAUGAAGGAUAUGAACAGACACUUCUCAAAAGAAGAAAUUUAUACAGCCAACAAACAUGAAAAAAAGCUCAUCAUCACUGGUCAUUAGAGAAAUGCAAAUCAAACCAACAAGGAGAUACAAUCUCAUGCCAGAUAGAAUGGCAAUCAUUAAAAAGUCAGGAAACAACAGAUGCUGGAGAGGAUGUGGAGAAAUAGGAAUGCUUUUACAUCAUUAGUGGGAGCGUACAUUAGUUCAACCAUUGUGGAAGACAGUGUGGUGAUUCCUCAAGGACCUAGAACGAGAAAUACCAUUUGGCCCAGCAAUCCCACUACUGGGUAUAUACCCAAAGGCUUAUAAAUCAUUCUACUAUAAAGACCCAUGCACAUGUAUGUUUAUUGCAGCACUAUUCACAAUAGCAAAGACUUGGAACCAACGCACAUGCCCAUCAAUGUUAAACUGGAUAAAGAAAAUGUGGCACAUAUACACCAUAUAAUACAAUGGAGCCAUAAAAAAAGGAUGAGUUCAUGUCCUUUGCAAGGACAUGGAUGAUCUGGAAACCAUCAUUCUCAGCACACUAACACAGGAACAGAAAACCAAACACUGCAUCUUCUCACUCAUAAGUGGGAGUUAAACAAUGGGAACACAUGAACCCAGGGAGAGGAACAUCAUUCACCAGAGCCUGUCAGAGGGUAGGGGGCUAGGGGAGGGAUAGCAUUAGGAGAAAUGCCUAAUGUAGAUGACAGGUUGAUGGGUGCAGCCAACCACCAUGGCACGUGUAUACCUAUGUAACAAACCUGCACGUUCUGCACAUGUAUCCCAAAACUUAAAGUAUAAUAAUAAUAAUAAAAGAAAUUGAAGAGGACACAAAAACUAGAAAGAUAUUCCAUAUUCAUGAAUUUGAAGAAUCAGCAUUACUAAAAUAUCCAUAAUACCCAAAGCAAUCUAUAGAUUCAAAUGAAAUUCCUAUCAAAAUACCAAUUAUAUUUUUCACAGAUAUAAAAAAGAAUUCUAAAAUUUGUACAGAAACACAAAAUACUUGGAAUAGCCAAAGCUAUCCCAAGCAAAAUGAACAAAUCUGGAGGUAUCACAUUGCCUGACUUCAAAUUAUAUUACAAAGCUAUAGUAACCAAAACAGCUUGGCACUGGCAUAAAAAACAGACACAUAGACCACCCAUGGAAUAGAAUAGAGAACCCAGAAAUAUAUUCACACAUUUACAAACAAUUAAAUUUACUAAUAACAUAUAUUUGGAAAUGUCAGUCUCUUCAAUCCAGGAAAAUUGGAUAUUCAUACACGGAAGAAUAAAACUAGACCCCAUCUCUCGCCAUAUACAAAAAUCAAAUCAAAAUGGUUUAAAGAUUUAAAUCUUAAAUAUAAGACCUCAAACUAUAAAACUAUGAGAAGAAAACAUUGAAGAAACACUCCAAGAAACUGGUCUGGGCAAAUAUUUCUUUAGUUAAGACCUCAAAAGUACAGACAACCCAAGCAAAAAUGAACAAAUGGGGUCACAACAAGUUAAAAAGCACCUGCAUAGCCAAUAGAGCAAUCAACAAAGUGAAGAGACUACCCACAGAAUGGGAGAAAAUAUUUGCAAACUAUCCAUCUGACAAGAGAUUAAUAGCCUGAAUGUAUAAGGAACUCAAACAACUCAACUGGAAAAAUAAAUAAAUAAUCCAAUUUAAAAAUGAGAAAAAAAUCUGUAUAAUCAUUUCUAAAAGAAGACAUGCAGAUGGACAACAGGCAUAUGAAAAAACACUCAGCGUCAUUAAUCAUCAGAGAAAUGAAAAUGAAAGCUACAAUAAGAUAUCAUCUCAUCCCAGUUAAAAUGGCUUUGUAUUAAAAAGACAGGCAAUAAUGGAUAUUGGCAAGGAUAUAGGAAAAAGGGGAGUCCUCAUAUACUGUUGGUGAAAAUGUAAAUUAGUGUAGCUACUAUGAGGAACAAUGGCAGUUCCUCAGAAAAAUGAAAAAUAGUACUAUUAUAUGAUCCAGUAAUACCACUGCUUGGUGUACAUCUAAUAGCAAGAACAUCACCAUGUGAAAAGACAUCCGCUCUCCCAUGUUUAUUGCAGCAUUAUUCACAAUAGCUAAGAUAUGGAAUCAACUUAGGUAUCCAUGAAUGGAUGAACAGAUAAAGAAAAUGUGGUAUAUACACAAGGGAAUAUUAUUCAGUCAUAAAAGAAUGAAAUUCUGUCAUUUGCAGCAACAUGGAUGAAACUGGAAGACAUUAUAUUAAGUGAAAUAAGCCAGACUCAGAAAGACAAGUAUCACAUGUUCUCACUCAUCUGUGGGAGGUAAAAAAGAGAAAAAUUGAUCUCAUGGAGGUAGAGUAGAAUGGUGGUUACCAGAGGUUGAGAUGUGUAGCGGGUUGGGGGAGAUUAAGAGGGAUGGUUAGUGGGUACAAAACUAUACUUAGAUAGAAUAAAUAAUAUCUAGUGUUUAGUAGCACAAUAAGGAGGCUAUAGUUAACAAUAAUUUAUUGUGUAUUUCAAAAUAACUUAAGUGGAAUUGUAAUGUUCCUAAUACACAGAAAUGGUAAAUGUUUGAGGUAAUAGAAAUCCCAAUUACCCUGAUUUGAUCAUUACACACAUUGUAUGCUUUUAUCAAAACAUCACAUGUACACUAUAAAUAUGUACAACUAUUAUGUAUCCAUAAUAUUUACAAAUUUAAAAAUAUUUAAAAAUUCACAAAACUGAAAUAAACAUACUUAUUGGGAAAACAUCUUCAAUAACUCAUUCAAAAAUUCAUAUUGAGAGGCUAUUACAUGCCAGGAAUUAUGCUAAUCUACUAUUCUCAUAAAAAAUAUAAUGUUCCAGUAUGAGAAACAGAUAGGGCAACCAUAAUCCUGCUAUAUGCCUGGCUUACAUGUGUGGUCUCAGUAUCCCAUAUGGCGUAGGAUUUUUUUCUUGAGUUUUCAUAUUUUAAAGAAAUAUUUUUACUAAUGUUUUCUUUUGACUGGAAUGGUUUUGAUAGAAUUUCACUUUUUACUUUCAGCACCAUCUUAAUUAGUAAUGUGUGAGAUGCAUGCAAUGAACAGAGUUUUCAGAUUAACAUGUGGUUGAAUCUCAGAAAUAAUCAGCAGUAAAUUGCUUCCCUUUCUCCCAUCCUUUUCUGAUGCAUUGAAAAGAAUAGUGUUCAUCAUACUCUCUAAUAAACCAACUUAGUAUGGCAUACCCACACAGUGGAAUAUUAUUUAACAAUAUAAACAAAGUACUGUUACAUGCUGUGAAAUGUAUGAACCUUGAAAAUAUUAUGCAAAAUAAAAUAAGCCAGUCACAAAAGGUGACAUAUUAUGUAAUUAGAUUUAUAUGAAAGGUCCAUAAUAGGAAACUAUAAGUAGAAAUAGAUCAGGGAUUUCCUAGAGCUGGGCUGGGGGAAGGGAUAGAGAGUGACUUGUAAUGAAUAUGGGUUUUUUGGGAUGAUAACAACAUUAUAAAAUUACAAUAAUGAUGUGAUGGUUGCAUAACUCUGAGUAUGCUACAAAUCAUUGAAUUAUACAUUUUAAAUGGGAUACUUUUAUGAUAUGCAAAUUAUAUCUCAAUAAUGCUGUUAUAAAAACUAAUUAUUUAAUAUGAGUGACUUGGAGGUAACCAACUUCUUGUGGAUCCUGGUGGUGGUGGUGGUGGUGGGAGAAAUAUUGGAAGCUAUUGCUUCUAGGUCAUUUGGUGAACCAACUAAUUGUACCAUGGUUGUAUAUGAGGUGUGUGAGAAAUAGAGACUGAAUAGUCCUACCAUGGAACAUAUAGAAAGUAGUUCAUUAUUUACUAUAUUUAAUUCAACAACUAUCCUUUCCAAAACGAUGUUUUUUCCUUUGAAAAAUGCAUACUUAAUGAAAAUUUAAAGAUGAUACUUCAAUUUCUCAAGAAAGUUGAUGAUGAAUGUGUAAAUUACACAAAGUAUUUGUUGAGAUUUACUAUAACAAUUGAGUCUGUAGUGAUAUCAUUGACCCCAUGGAAACAAGAUGAUGUAUAUCAUCCCCCAAAUCACUAGCACCUACAGUUAUUUAGAAAGAUUAUGCACAAGAUGAUAAUUUAACAUGUGCAGCUUCAGAUGGUGUAUUUACAUAUUUCUUUCUUUUCUUUUUUUUUUUUUUUUUUUUGAGAUGAAGUCUCGCUCUGUCACCCAGGCUGGAGUGUAGUGGGGUGACCUUGGCUUACUGCAACCUCCACCUCCUAGGUUCCAGCGAUUCUCCCACCUCAGCCUCCUGAGUACCUGGGAUUAUAGGCACCUGCCACCAUGCCCAGCUAAUUUUUGUAUUUUUAGUAGAGACUGUGUUUCACCAUGUUGGCCAGGCUGGUCUUGAACUCCUGACCUCAAGCGAUCUGCCCACCUCGGCCUCCCAAAGUGCUGGGAUUACAGGCAUGAGCCACAGUGCCUGGCCUACGUAUUUCUUUUUAAAGACUGACUUUUCAUUUAGAGUAAAUGAUUGCUCUUCUAAAGUAAUUUACUCUUUGUUGGUUUUAGAAAUAUUUUGCAUGUAUAAGGUAUAAAACAACAACUGUUUAUAUGUUACUUCCAUUAGCCGAUGAACUAGUGGUUAAAUGAUGCUUCAAAUAGAAAAUAAGUUAAUUCCACUAAUAGAUUGUGUUUUCAUGAAAGUCAAAAACAUGAAAUAACACUUUACAAAGUUCAUUUUGUUGAGUAGCUUGCAUUACUGUGAAUUAUAUUGUAAAGUAGUUUAAAGUUUAACAUUAAAGAUAAAAUUAUUAUUUUUGCUGUUAUGGUAUGAAUAAAAAAGUUUGAUU